GGAGGCCGCUCCCUCGAGGCCUGCUCCCUGUCACCCCCAUCCCAGCGAGCGGCAGCCCCAUCUCCGGCAAACGGCGGCGCCCAUCUCCGGUGAGCGGCGGCGCCCGCAUGCUCUCUGACCAGGCCCCGCCAAGGUCCCGCGAGGGCUGGGCGUGCGCAGGAGGAGCGCCGCGGAUGUGGCCGCCCUCCCACCCUGCCUAGGGUUUCGGGUGCCGGCAAGAACGGGCCGAAUCCACCUGCCCUGAGGGAGAGCCAUGAUCCCCUUCGAAGUUCCUGCUACAUAAGAUCUAAAAUCCCUAAGCUUCUGCUGUUAAUUUUUUUUUGAGGAUUGAAGUGGGGAGAGUUCGUGUGCCUUGCAUAUGCUCACUGAUGCAUAUGCUUUUGUUUUGUUACUCGGUCGGGUCCAUCCGGAUGCAUCAUUUGUACAAUUUGGAGAGGCUACAGGAAGACUUGGCAAGCCGGGUGAAAUGGGGCCCUAGGCAGCAAACAAAGAUUAGCCACUUUGAUAUGAGUAGAGGAAGGGAAAGAAAGGUGGAGGAUGAUAUAGCUUUGUCUGCUGCUUUCUCUGAGCUGAAGGAUGAGAAGAAGCUAUUUUUAUUUGUUGAUGUGGUUGAGAAGGAAACUGAAUCAGUGGUGACAUUAGUGGAAUCAAUCAAUGAUUUAGUUGGUACACAUGGUAGUGGAGGUCUACAAUGUAUUGCUAAUGUUGGGCCAGCUAUAGAAUCAAGCAAUGUGGGCACUAGUGGUGUUGUUGGGGCAGCUAUAGAAUCAAGUGCAGAGGAAGACAUAGAACAUGUGGUGGACUGGGAUAGAUUGGAAAUUACUCCAAUUCCGGAAGAUAGAAUAAGUGCUUGUACCAGGUCCAGUGUAAGAGCUGCCUAGCAUUUGCCACAGAUCUACCUCACCGAAAUGCCCUUUAAACGGAACUAAGAAGAGGAAGAGCCGUGCAAAAAAAGGGAAUGUUGGGAGGCCCUCUGGCUGUGGCAGCAAGAGGAAGAAGGUUGCAUCACAAGACGAUCCUACACAAGCAGCGACAAGUAAUGCUGCUGAACCGCAAGCUGCUGGACAUAUUUUUCCUAUGACCAACAGUCCUGGUCCUGUCACAAGGAGCCAAACUGCUUUAAGCUUGGAAGUCCAAACAAGUCCUUGUUGUGCCAACAUACAGAGAACUACUAUCACCACAAGUCCUGGUCCUAUGACUCGAAGGUCAGAUAUUUAACAAAUUAAUAAGAUUAAAAUUUCAUGUCUAUGAGCUGUCAUCUCUACAUUGCAAAUUCUCUACUGUUUUCAGGCAGCUGGCAUUAACUAUGGAAGGUGAAGCCACUACUACUGCGACCACUCCUACUACUACUACUACUACGACCUCUCCCACUACUGC